UCACCGGCCGGAUCUCGCUCUUCAGUGUACAGCAAGAAGUUCAUGUAUUGAUGCCCCUGGAGUCCAUGUAGCUCUGCUGCCAUGCUACCCUUAUCGGCCUCGGCUAUGUCUAAGGAGCUCCCUUCUGUUCAGUGGAUUCAACAAAAAAAGUCCCUGCUGCCACUGCAUCCUCAGUUCAAGGGAUUCCUUAGGGGCCUUCUACACCAUCUUGCUAAUGAUGCCAUCGCCCGAUGCCAUAGCCAUGCUCGUCGUUCUUGUACUGCCAUU